rnacentral:rRNA from 1 species
UACACUCCUACGGGAGGCAGCAGUGGGGAAUUUUGGACAAUGGGCGAAAGCCUGAUCCAGCAAUGCCGCGUGAGUGAAGAAGGCCUUCGGGUUGUAAAGCUCUUUUGUCAGGGAAGAAACGGUGAGAGCUAAUAUCUUUUGCUAAUGACGGUACCUGAAGAAUAAGCACCGGCUAACUACGUGCCAGCAGCCGCGGUAAUACGUAGGGUGCAAGCGUUAAUCGGAAUUACUGGGCGUAAAGCGUGCGCAGGCGGUUUUGUAAGUCUGAUGUGAAAUCCCCGGGCUCAACCUGGGAAUUGCAUUGGAGACUGCAAGGCUAGAAUCUGGCAGAGGGGGGUAGAAUUCCACGUGUAGCAGUGAAAUGCGUAGAUAUGUGGAGGAACACCGAUGGCGAAGGCAGCCCCCUGGGUCAAGAUUGACGCUCAUGCACGAAAGCGUGGGGAGCAAACAGGAUUAGAAACCCCUGUAGUCCCAUGA